AUGGAAGAGGUAUCUGGUGGAGACGGGGGCUCGACGGCGGUCGCUCCUGAAGCCUUCAGAGUGCGUCCCUCCCACAGCUUCCAGGUGCAGAUGAAGCUGGAGCCGGUGGAUAAAAGAUGUCCGGGCCUGAUCCGCGUGGCUACGGUGCUGGAGGUCGACACUUACGGAAUCAAGAGGAGAAAACAACUUCAGCUGACAGCUGUGCCAGUUUAAUCCAACAAAAAUAAAAAUCGAUACAGUAUAUUAAACACAUUCCUUAAUGGCUCAUAAAAGUCCAGUAGAAGUUACUGUUAGGAUGUGAUUUAUUCCUGUGAGGCACAGCUGUAUUUUUCAGCUUCAUUCCUCCAGUCUUCAGUGUCACAUGGUCUUCAGAAAUCAUUCAGAUCUGAUGAUUUACUGAUGAUUUACAACAUUUCUGAUUAUUAUCAAUGUUGAACACAGUUGUGAUGCUUCAUAUUUUUGUGGAAACAUUAUAAAAGCUACAUUUUAAUAGCUUUUGCAACGUUAUAGAUGUCAUUAUUGUUUCUGUGUUCUAGCUGAGUAAAAUAAUUAAUUUAUUUCCAAAAAAAGCUAAUGUAUUGAAAAAAAAAAAAAUAAUAAUAACUUAAUAGCAGUUAAAGUACAAAUAUUUAGUUAAAGUUAAAAUAUUAAACACCCCUUUGAGAAGCAGAAAAAUUACAGAAAUGGUUUUCAGAGAAUACAUAUUAAACUUAUUUCUCUUACACCAAUGCCUAAAUGAUCUAUAUCAAUUUCUCAUUUGUAUAUUAUUCUUAAAAAAAAGACAAAAUGAUAGAUAAAAAACAUAUAUAUAUAUAUAUAUAUAUAUAUAUAUAUAGAAAACAUAUAUAUAUAUAUAUAUAUAUAUAUAUAUAUAUAUAUAUAUAUAUAUAUAUAUAUAUAUAUAAAUAUAUAAAUAUAUUAGAUUAAGAUCAGUUAUAUCGGACUCUAACAUGCUCAUGUAGCUAAUGCUGUGUCAGCUCAGAGUCCCCUGUGUGGUUUAGGUCCCCGGGAGAGAGCCUGACGACCCAGCAGCCCAGCUUCUCCUCCGUGCCUCAGCCCCUCCGAAUACAGCUUCCACCACAGGUCAGACUUCAGCGUCUCUAUAAUGCAUUAGUUCAGAACGUUUAAUACACUGCUGUAAAAAUAAUCAAGCUGUCAGAAAACAGAACAGACGGGUUUCUGUCACUCAGAAAGUGCCCUACUCCGGGAUGUGUCGGGGAAGGUCAUGUGACCGGCCGCUUCACUGCACAUCAUCACUGUUUAUCUGGCUGCCCAUUGGCUGAGAGGAACCAGGGCCGGUUUAAAGCGGAUCUCUCUGAAACAGAAGGAUCCAGACGUAACCAGCUGGUCUUCGGCCGGAGAGCGAAGAAAUUUCAAUACCAAGGCAGGUACAACAACAUUCACAUGGUGUUAAUCAAGUGUAACUGUGUAUUUGUACAUUAAGGAUUUUUGUAUAUUAAAGAGAUUUAUAAGUCCACUGUGCUUGCUGUCACCAGGAUUGGUCGCUCCCCUAAAUAUCACAAAAGUCAGCAAAGACAUUGUGAGUUUGACUUUACAACAUUUUCAAUAAAAUUGUCAAUAAAAUUCCAGUAAAACAAAUAAAUCAAUGCAUUUUAGAGUAAAAGAUAACAUCCUCUCAUAGGGGAAAACACACACAGGCCAUUCAUUAUUUGCACAUGGACUAUAUUAUUAUAUAUAACGUAAUCACUUAUGUUUCGAACACUUUUAUUUUGAAUCGAAUAAUGCAGUAUGAAUACAGCUUCACAGGUCUGAAUGUAUGGGUUAUAACAUAAUCUACAGACACAGCAAACAAACAGCAGUCAGUAUGAGGUUAAUGUAAUAUCUCUGCUUUAUCUGCAGGUCUUUGGAUUCGUCAAUUGUCUUGUUGGCUGUGAUGGGCAGUCCCGAGUUUUCAAAGAUGAAGUAAGUAAUAAUAAUAAUAAUUCCUUACAUUUAUAUAGCGCUUUUCUAGACACUCAAAACGCUUAAGUAAUUAGCUUCACUAAAUUUCUCUAUAUAAUGGUACUUGUUGAAGAAAGUAUCAUUAGUAUUAUUGUGUAAAAUAGGGAUUUAACUGAGUUGUAAUAAAGCUUUAACCCACAGUUUGAGUUCUGUAUAUGAAGACGCAAUCACAUUUAACUUUGUGCAGUAAAUGUCUGGGGAUGAAAUGCAAGCAUCUCAACAGAAAGCUCAGGUGCUUAUAUAUAUAUAUAUAUAUAUAUAUAUAUAUAUAUAUAUAUAUAUAUAUAUAUAUAUAUAUAUAUAUAUAUAUAU
ensembl:lncRNA